AUACGUAGGUGACAAGCGUUAUCCGGAUUUACUGGGCGUAAAGGGCGUGUAGGCGGUCUUGCAAGUCAGAAGUGAAAUUCCUGAGCUCAACUCGGGCGCUGCUUCUGAAACUGCAGGACUUGAGUGCUGGAGGGGAUAGCGGAAUUCCUAGUGGAGCGGUAAAAUGCGCAGAUAUUAGGAAGAACACCGGUGGCGAAGGCGGCUAUCUGGACAGUAACUGACGCUGAGGCGCGAAAGCGGGGGGAGCAAACAGCAUUAGAUACCCUGGGAGUCCACGCCGUAAACGAUGAAUACUAGGUGUAGGGGGUGUCGACUCCCUCUGUGCCGCAGUUAACACAAUAAGUAUUUCGCCUGGGGAGUACGGCCGCAAGGUUGAAACUCAAAUGAAUUGGCGGGG
rnacentral:rRNA from 1 species